rnacentral:rRNA from 1 species
GACGAACGCUGGCGGCGUGCUUAACACAUGCAAGUCGAACGGAAAGGCCCUGCUUUUGUGGUGUGCUCGAGUGGCGAACGGGUGAGUAACACGUGAGUAACCUGCCCUUGACUUUGGGAUAACUUCAGGAAACUGGGGCUAAUACCGGAUAGGAGCUCCUGCUGCAUUGUGGGGGUUGGAAAGUUUCGGCGGUUGGGGAUGGACUCGCGGCUUAUCAGCUUGUUGGUGGGGUAGUGGCUUACCAAGGCUUUGACGGGUAGCCGGCCUGAGAGGGUGACCGGCCACAUUGGGACUGAGAUACGGCCCAGACUCCUAAGGGAGGCAGCAGUGGGGAGUAUUGCACAAUGGGCGGAAGCCUGAUGCAGCAACGCCGCGUGCGGGAUGACGGCCUUCGGGUUGUAAACCGCUUUCGCCUGUGACGAAGCGUGAGUGACGGUAAUGGGUAAAGAAGCACCGGCUAACUACGUG